rnacentral:rRNA from 1 species
GACGGAGGAUGCAAGCGCUAUCCGGAAUGAUUGGGCGUAAAGCGUCCGCAGGUGGCAGUUCAAGUCUGCUGUCAAAGACCGGGGCUUAACUUCGGAAAGGCAGUGGAAACUGAACAGCUAGAGUAUGGUAGGGGCAGAGGGAAUUCCUGGUGUAGCGGUGAAAUGCGUAGAGAUCAGGAAGAACAUCGGUGGCGAAGGCGCUCUGCUGGACCAUAACUGACACUCAGGGACGAAAGCUAGGGGAGCGAAUGGG